rnacentral:rRNA from 1 species
AACGAACGCUGGCGGCAUGCCUAACACAUGCAAGUCGAACGAGACCUUCGGGCCUAGUGGCGCACGGGUGCGUAACGCGUGGGAACCUGCCCUUAGGUUCGGAAUAACUCCCCGAAAGGUGAGCUAAUACCGGAUAAUGUCAUCGGACCAAAGAUCUAGCGCCUUUGGAUGGGCCCGCGUUGGAUUAGCUAGUUGGUAGGGUAAAAGCCUACCAAGGCGACGAUCCAUAGCUGGUCUGAGAGGAUGAUCAGCCACACUGGGACUGAGACACGGCCCAGACUCCUACGGGAGGCAGCAGUGGGGAAUAUUAGACAAUGGGCGAAAGCCUGAUCCAGCAAUGCCGCGUGAGUGAUGAAGGCCUUAGGGUUGUAAAGCUCUUUUACCCGGGAUGAUAAUGACAGUACCGGGAGAAUAAGCUCCGGCUAACUCCGUG